rnacentral:rRNA from 1 species
UGAACUAGCUAACUGAAAUCAAUCCAAAAUAUAAACAAAAAGAUUUGGUUGAAAAUGUAAGAAGAAAAUAAUGAUAUUAUCUUACGUUUAGUGUCGUCUAAAACCGGUGCCAGAAGACUCGGUAAGGCCGGAGACGCAAACGUUAGUCAUCCUUAUCAGGCGUAAAGGGUUUGUAGGCUGCUUUGAAAGUUUCUAUAAUUUUAAAAUAAAUCCACAAUAAGAAAACUGAAAAGACUUAACUCUUAUAUAUAAUUUAAAUUAAUAUUAAUAUAAAUAGAAAUAAAUUAAAGCUAGAAUCUAAUAGAGGUUAUAUUGAAUAAUUCUUAGUUUAGGUCUAAAAUCCUAAGAGAUUAAGGAGAAUAUUAAAGGCGAAGGCCUCUCUCCAAUUAAAGAUUGACGCUGAGAAACGAAGGUGAGGAAAGGAAAUAGGAUUAGAUACCCAAACUACCCCUCACUGUCAACGAUGAAUGAUAGUCAUUAGUGCAAAUUAGUGACGUAGUUAACACGAUUAUCAUUC